UGUUUAAAAAAAUUAUUAAUUUGUAUCGUUAAAAACUGAUGUGAUUGACGGAAUAAUUAAAUACCACAUGUAUCUCGUGCUCACUUAUAGGGACCAAUUUUUAACAUUGGAAAUGAAUGAAAUUUUUAACA
rnacentral:pre_miRNA from 1 species